ACGGCCGUACCAUGCUGAAUAUACCGGUUCUCGUUAGAUCACCGAAGUCAAGCAUCAUUGGGCGCGGUCAGUACUUGGGUGGGUGAACAC